AAGUCGUAACAAGGUCUCCGUAGGUGAACCUGCGGAGGGAUCAUCAAAGAAUUUUAUUAUUUCCAAGGUGCUCUUUCUCUUUCUUUCUUUCUUUCUCUUGAGAAAGAGAAGGGGGGAUGGGGAGAAAAAGUGCUUUGCAAACAAACGAUCACAACUAUUGAAAAAAAAUUGUGGAUUUUUGUUGGUGGCUUGGGGAGAAAAGAAAAAAAGUGUUUGCCUGAUAUCUGAUGAGUUGACUUGGAAAAACAAGAGAAAAUUAUACAACUUUCAACAACGGAUCUCUUGGCUCUCA
rnacentral:misc_RNA from 1 species